UUAGUUUGUUUCCUAUGAUUACAAGUCUCUAAUGUUUUGUCUCCCUCUCUGGUUUUGUCUUGCUUUAUAUUUGCCUCUCUUCCACUAUGAUCUUCUCCUUUGUUUCUAAAAUUC